rnacentral:lncRNA from 1 species
ACUUGAAAAUAAAAAUUAAUUAAUUGGGUAUGAGAACAAAAUAUAAACAUGCAAAAGAGAUUGAUUCAAUUGACGAGAAGAAAACAAUGGAUGAAUGGAGUUGUUGGGGGUUUACAAUUUCAUCUUAUCCGCUCUCUCUUACUUACUCCUCUUGAUUUAUUUGCUUGAUUAACUAAUUGUUAUGCAACUUUCUUGGCCUACCCUUAACCCGAUCCCUCAGCGAAAAGAGCCUAUUACUAAUUACUGGCUUGCUAUCCCUAGCCUCCCCUAGCAAUUAAUAAUGCAUUAUAGAGAAGAAGUGAAAAACAAUUGAUCGUCCUACCCCUAUCCCUAGGUGGUAUUACUUAAUCAAGGAAUCACUCACCAAUUCAUGACAUUACUGUACGUCCCCGUAUCAAUAAAGACAAACAACAAUUAUCGAAUGAGUUAAACGAUAAAAGCAUUAAGCACAGACGUUUUGACUCUCUACAAACUCAUUUAUUGAGUUUUGCUUGAUUCUAAGCUCAUUCUAAGCAGUAAAGGGAGUAAUUUUGUCUAAAAUGACAUAUGAAAAUAACUGUUUUUCAACCUUCAUCAAAAGCCUACUCUUAAUUACUAGUUCACAAUGUCUUGUAUCCCUAACAAUUAAUUAUGCAUUACAUUCACACAGAAGCUUAAAGGCAACCAACCCACCU